AUUGAACGCUGGCGGCAGGCCUAACACAUGCAAGUCGAACGAGUGGCGGACGGGUGAGUAAUGUCUGGGAAAGUGCCCGAUGGUGGGGGAUAACUUUCGGAAAGGGUAGCUAAUACCGCAUAUCAUUCGAUUGGCCCAUAUGGGAUUAGCUAGUAGGUGGGGUAACGGCUCACCUAGGCGACGAUCCGUAGCGGGUCUGAGAGGAUGACCAGCCACACUGGAACUGAGACACGGUCCAGACUCCUACGGGAGGCAGCAGUGGGGAAUAUUGGACAAUGGGCGCAAGCCUGAUGCAGCCAUGCCGCGUGUAUGAAGAAGGCCUUCGGGUUGUAAAGUACUUUUGGCGAGGAGGCGUUACUCGCAGAAGAAGCACCGGCUAACUCCGUGCCAGCAGCCGCGGUAAUAC
rnacentral:rRNA from 1 species